rnacentral:misc_RNA from 1 species
UCCGGUUUGUCACCGGCAGUCUCAUUAGAGUGCCCUUGCGUAGCAACUAAUGAUAAGGGUUGCGCUCGUUGCGGGACUUAACCCAACAUCUCACGACACGAGCUGACGACGGCCAUGCAGCACCUGUGUUACGGCUCCCUUUCGGGCACUCCUGCAUCUCUGCAGGAUUCCGUACAUGUCAAGGGUAGGUAAGGUUUUUCGCGUUGCGUCGAAUUGAACCACAUCAUCCACCGCUUGUGCGGGCCCCCGUCAAUUCCUUUGAGUUUUAAUCUUGCGACCGUACUCCCCAGGCGGGGCGCUUAAUGCGUUAGCUACGGCACGGAGAACGUGGAAUGCUCCCCACACCUAGCGCCCAUCGUUUAGGGCGUGGACUAC